rnacentral:rRNA from 1 species
AUUGAACGCUGGCGGCAUGCCUUACACAUGCAAGUCGAACGGCAGCAUGGAGGAGCUUGCUCCUCUGAUGGCGAGUGGCGAACGGGUGAGUAAAGCAUCGGAACGUACCGUGUAGUGGGGAUAACGUAGCGAAAGUUACGCUAAUACCGCAUACGCACUGAGGUGGAAAAGCAGGGGAUCGCAAGACCUUGCGCUAUACGAGCGGCCGAUGUCAGAUUAGCUAGUUGGUAGGGUAAAGGCCUACCAAGGCGACGAUCUGUAGCGGGUCUGAGAGGAUGAUCCGCCACACUGGGACUGAGACACGGCCCAGACUCCUACGGGAGGCAGCAGUGGGGAAUUUUGGACAAUGGGGAAACCCUGAUCCAGCCAUGCCGCGUGAGUGAAGAAGGCCUCGG